UUGAACGCUGGCGGAAUGCUUUACACAUGCAAGUCGAGCGGCAGCGCGGGGGCAACCCUGGCGGCGAGCGGCGAACGGGUGAGUAACACAUCGGAACGUACCCAGUUGUGGGGGAUAGCCCGGCGAAAGCCGGAUUAAUACCGCAUACGACCUGAGGGUGAAAGGGGGGGAUCGCAAGACCUCUCGCAGUUGGAGCGGCCGAUGGCGGAUUAGCUAGUUGGUGGGGUAAAGGCCUACCAAGGCGACGAUCCGUAGCUGGUCUGAGAGGACGACCAGCCACACUGGAACUGAGACACGGUCCAGACUCCUACGGGAGGCAGCAGUGGGGAAUUUUGGACAAUGGGCGAAAGCCUGAUCCAGCCAUGCCGCGUGCGGGAAGAAGGCCUUCGGGUUGUAAACCGCUUUCAGCCGGAAAGAAAUCGCCACUUCUAAUACGAGUGGUGGAUGACGGUACCGGAAGAAGAAGCACCGGCUAACUACGU
rnacentral:rRNA from 1 species